rnacentral:lncRNA from 1 species
AUAUAGUAUAUAAUAUGUUUUUUAUGUAUAUACUAAAAACUUUUUUUUCUGAAAUUCAUAUGCAACUGAGAGUCCUGUAUUUUUUCAGGCAAUCCUAAAACCUAGCUAGGCUUACACAAUAAAGCUCAAAAAGUUUCCUAUAGCUUAAGUAAUGAACAUUUUAUAAUUUGUUAAUACCUAACCUUUAGGUAUCAUUAAGUACUACAUUGACAUAGAGUACCCAUAGCAGCAAACCCUUUGAAACAUGGUUCAUUUAUUAAAUAUUUGCUGAAUGCCUUUAUGUGUUUAGACUUAUGCUAGCUCUAAGGGGCACUCCAAAAAAGUGAAAAGCAAGUCUGUAUCCUUUGACCAACUUGCUUUUCACAUAAGAUGAAUAAGUUCGAGAAACCUAACGUGAAGCUUGGUAACUAUAAUAUCUUGCAUACUUGAAAUUUGCUAAGAGAAUAGAUCUUAAGUAUUCUAACUACACAUGCAUAUGAAAAGGUAACUAUGUGAAGUGGAUAUAUUAAUUAGUUUGAUUGUGGUAAUCAUUUCACAACGUAUACAUAUAUCAAAAUAUUACAUUCUUUACCUUGAAUACAUAUAAUUUUUAUUGACACCUUAAUAAAGCUAGAAAAAAAUAAGUGAAAGGCCUAGUCCGAUGCCCCUUAGAAGACUAGAUUCUAUUUGCAAAUAGGACUCACUGCUGAAAAUUAAUUUUUCAGCUACCCUGGGGUUAAUUGCUCAUGAGGCUCAGCUCUGCAUGGGGCACCAUAAAGAGGCCUGUGGACUAACGGAGAAUCAGGAUUAGGGUAAUAGCCCUUGAAAUGUACCUUCUUGGGAGCUUACAGAAGUGGAGCUCCCCACAGGUAGCCACUACAGAGACAGGCACUGGCUAUUUGCUUGUUUUGCAGUAAACGAUAAGUGUAGAUGUUUUGCAGUUUUUGCUGAGAGAAGCAAAAGGUUGUCCUGAGUCACUGGACACUUACAUUCUCUUUUCAAAACUACUACAAAAAUAUUUAGUACUUAACUAGAAUGUACAUUGAAAUUAUAUUUCCCUAUAAUCCUGUUUGUGUCAGCACAUUAAAAUUCCCUUGAAUGUUUCUUAUGUAACCACUUCUGGUUAACUCUUAUCUUGAAGUUAGUACAAUUUAGUCUUUGCUGUCUUUUUCAUCACUGUGAAAGUCCCUUUCUCAGAUUCUUCAAUUGCAUCAAAUUCCCCAUGCACUCCAAAUCUUAUUCCACUCCCAAUUUAUGUAAAACCAAUUGUGCUUUCAGUCUAUUUAUUUUAGUUCAAGUAGACACCUUAUUUAAAGAGGCUUUAUAGCUCUCAUACUAAUUACUUAUGCACUCACCUGUACUGCAUGAUGGGAGAAAUGCGCAGCCUUCACCGUCAUCAAAACGUUCAGUAAAUACUUAAUUUUUCAUGUCUUUGAUUGAUACUAUGUGAAGAUUUACAAAGAGUUACACAAAACUGGCUUCUUUUCACUAGAAGCUGAAAUUGGAAAGUUGACACAGGUAUAUGGACAAAUACAACAUAAAGCAAAAGUGCAAUUAUUUGGCCUGAUCAAUGUUUAAGUGUGCCCAAGCUCAUUUCCACUUCAUAACAUAUGCUGGUUGUUCCAUCUCCUUUUAAUUCUCUUCCUCCAGAUCUUUAUAUCUCUUGCACUCUCACUUUAUUAUUAAUUUUUGUUGCUGUUGAAAUGCUACUUUCUCAGAGAAAUUUUUUUCUGAUCCUGUUUUCUAAAAUAGAGUUUUCUCCAACAUUUUUACAAAAUUACUCUCUAAGUUCUUAACUUGAUUUUUAUAUAUAUGUUACCAUCACACUUGUCAGUACCUGAAACUGUAUUAUAGAUCAAUUUCUUUGUUUAUGGUUUGUCACCAUAGAAUGAAAUUCCAUAAAGGCCACAAAUUUGUCUUAUUUAUUACUAUAUUUUUAGUGUUUGAAAUAGUGCCUGCUACCUAGGAGGUGCUUGUUAAAUUUUUGUGAGUUAAUGAAUGAAUAAGUCUCAUUUGAUUCAAAAUGAAAGGUGAGGUGAAAUAUUGGGAACAUAUCAAAGAAGAUGUUAAAAUGGUGAAGGAAGAGUCAUCAGGAACACUGUUGAAAUAAGAGAAGGAUCUUAGAGAUUGCCUGCUUGUUGAAAAAGAAUGGAGGAAAACCCAGGUGGAGAAAUUCCAAUUUUGAAUCAAUUUAGGAGCACUGAACAGUAUGAAAGAGAUAUUCUCAGCUGAGUUGUUUAGGGCAGGGGUAUUUGAACGAAAGAACCUGUUGCCUCUUUUUGAUUCCUGAGCUUGAGGAGUUGAGAACAAUGGGUAAACAAUGUUUGUUGUGGCAUGGUACUCAGGGACAUAUCUGCUAGCACCCAUGGAUCUGUUAUCUGUUCCAAACCAAAUCUGGCAGCCUGGUAAAGUGAGGAUUCCAGUUGUCUUGGGUAGUAACUACACUUUCUUUCUUUCUUUCUUUUUUUUAAAUCAUCUGCUACAUUUCUCAGAACUAGGGAAUCCCUGAAAGAAAUUUUCAAGACAUAGAGCACAAAGACUGGAUCUGUUUGUUAUAUUUUGAGUAAGAAUAGAGGCUACUAUUCAGGAAAUGCACUUUGUUAUUUGAGGAAGGGAAAUGUAGAAAGGGCAGUCUGCCCAUUAGCCUUUUCUAAAAAGCAAUCAGUAUUUCCAGUGGCAUCCUUAGCUGGUCAAGCCUCAUAGAACAGUCUUGCCCUGGGGCAUUAUACCUGUUGUGCCCAUUUGUUAUGGGUUUUUCAUGAGUCUCCCAAUUUCAGAAUGUUGCCGUGUUGUCAGACCUUGUGCCUGCCAUGCUAUGGCAUGUUGUCACAAUAAGGCUUCUGAUUUUAGGUGCCGUUUUAUAAUUAUUGAAAAAGUUAGGUAUGUGACAAAGUAUGCUGGACUUCAUAGAUAAAACAAAGUCUACAAAAAAUUUUAAAAAUUAGUCUCUAAUUUUUGCUACUUGUAUAUAUUAAAACCAAUGUGAAUUCUCUGAAUCUUGUCCAGAAUUUCAACCUACUUAACCCACGUGAUUCACAUGAGAAGGGAGGCUAGGAGGGAGAUGGAUCGAGAAAAAUGAAAUAGGAGGAUGUAUUUCACAAUAAAUAAUGAGAAUUUUAUGUAAAGUUCCAAUUAGAAAGAAGGUAGAUUUAGGCCUUCUAAAUAAACUUAAGGUUUCAAGAACCACUUGAAGAAAUCUGUAAAGAGGAGGAUAUCAAGAGCAGGAGGAUAUCUGAGCUAUACACAGUUGUAGCCCAGAUGAAGUAGUACAGGCCCCAAGAAAAAGAAUGGUUAUACAAUGUGACCAAUACUUCCCAAUGGAAGGCUUUUCCAUAUAAUGUAUAACAGAAGUGGUACACAUUCAUAGCAAUUUGAUAAAACAAUUAUAUUUUCCAGUUAAUAGUCACAAUAAUCCUGAUAGGUACAAAAGGUAUUACAAUUAUCCCACUUUUAAGUUAAGAAAAAUGAGUUCUGGAGUGUCUGAGCUUGUAUGUAAGACAUAAAGGCUUUUGGAACUCAUUCAGUGAUUACACAGAGAGAGUCUAUUUCUGCCUGAAACACACAAGGUAAAUUGUGUCUUUAACAACCCAUCUCCUAUCAACCAUCUAUCCAAAAGGCAGGUGCAUCAUAACAGCACAGUAAGUAGAAGGUUCAGGAAGAGCAUGAGAGCUUUUCUUACAGAAAGAGAUCACAUCAAUUGCCUAUUGUGAGUGGAUUACCUUGUGAAAAAUAAGCAUGAUUUAAAUUUUCAGUUGACAGUCAAAAUUCAAUAAACUACUUCGGUGUUGUCAAAGCUGUUUUCUGUAUUCAUAUUACAGAAAAUGGGCCACUUAAUCUUUAAAAAGUGAUCAAUUAGUCUAGCCUACAUCGCUUCUUAUUGGCAAUGCAUGCUACCAGGUGGCUGCUUUUGAAUCUUUAAAAAAAAUUAAAGAAAAUGUCUGAAAGGCAAGGUAAAGAGUAUAAUGAGAUAUGCUAACUUCUUACAAAAUUCUGAAUAAACUCAUGAAACUCCUAAAAUGUUAAUUAGUCCUCUUGUGCUGUAUGCUUAUCACACCUGUUUAGUUAUGCCACCACAGACAUGUUCCCUGGAAUUCUUAUUCUAGUCUGUGACUUCUAGUUAAUGAUGUCAUAAGCCUUUCUCAGUACAUAGUGGCACCAAAAUUCUCUUGUCACUUGGUACAUAGUUCAUAGGGAUGGGAGCACAGAGAAUCAGGUUAGUGGGCCUGGAUUUUAGUUCUGAACUUGUACUAGUUCAUGCAUUUCUAAAACUGUACUUAAAGAAACACAUGCAUGCCCAGGCCCACCCUUAGCCAUUUUUAUAUAGUCAGACUUGAGUGAAGCAAAAAUACCUGUGAUUUUCACAAAGUGUUUCUGAAGCACAGCUCUGCUCAGAGCCCUUGCUUUACAGGUUCCAAUAGUGUCAAAUCUAUGUCACUUAGCCUGAAUCCUCUGGAAAGCCGAGCCUGAAGCAAUGAUUAUGAUUCUAAUAGUUUAUUUUCCAGAUACAAUCACAUCACAGGAUGUUGAGGUAAGGAACAGAUGUAAUCUCUUGCAACACAGUGUGCUACCAUGCUGGCUACUGCAUCACAGCCAUAACACAACAUAUCAGAUAAUUCAGCAGGCUUGUUCAGUCAGCAGGAAGGAAUUAUCUAGAAGGCUUGAAAGGAAGCACUGUACCUGGGAGUAGUAUGCAGGGGAGAGAAAGGAGAAAUAAUUGCCUGCUUGCUUUCUCUCUGUCUCCCUUUUCCCACUGGUCAAAAUUCACUCUGGGUAGAACUACCUCUUUCACAUUUCUAGUUGCUUCAUCUGGUCCUUGAGUAACUGUGCAGGAAUGCAAAUUUUAUGUCCUGUAGGGUGAUGCUUCAUUUAAUUCCAAAGGUAGGGUUGAUUUGGCAACAUAUGGGGUUCUGACUAAGAAAGAGAGGAAGAAAGUAGCUAAAGUUUAUGUCCUUCAAUGCAAUAUUGUCACUGAAGGUGAAGGAGAGAUUAUUGAGGGGUUAUUUCAGCAUGUCAAAAAGAUAAAGUUGGAUUUAAAGAGGGCAUAUAAGAUUGAGGAAAGACAGGAGCCACACAGAAUACAUUGGGAAAAUAAAAAUUAGUGUUAAAUAUUGUUGAUUGGCACUUGACAUCUCUUUCCACCUUUCUAUAUUCUAACCUGCAUCCCAGGAGUUGGAAGGCAAAGAGCUACAUUUACAAGACUCUCUUGCUGCUAGGUUUCUGGCUGCAAUUCAGAUUUUGCCAAUAGGUUGCACUUGUGCAUAGUAUGUGGUAGAGAGCCCCUUUUUAUGUGGCUGUGGUACCACCACCAAGUUUCUGUAGAUGUGUGUACUGGCGACAACAGUAAUUUCUUCACCUAUGGAUUUCAGCUGUAGUGGAGUGACUUUAAAAGCAAGAGUUGGCCAAGUGUGGUGGCUCAUACCUGUAAUCCCAGCACUUUGGGAGCCCAAGGGGGAAGAUAGUUUGAGCCCAGGAGUUUGAGACCAGCUUGGGCAACAUAGUGAGACCCUAUCUAUAAAAAAGUUUAAAAAAUUAGCUGGGCGUGGUGGCACAUGCCUGUAGUCCCAGCUACUCUGGAGGCUGAGGCAGGAGGAUCACUUGAGCCUGGUAGGUUAAGGACGAGGGGAGCCAUGAUUGUUCCAUUGCACUCUAGCCUGAAUGACAGAGUGAGACCUUGUCCCUCAAAAAAAACCAAAAAAAAAAACAAAAAAACCAAGAGUCCAGUAGGGCCCUCUGACUUUUCCUCCUUUAGCUCUUCCAACCAUUUUGUAAGCACCCUCUUUCUGCAUUAAAACUCUUUAUGAGUCAUAUCCCUGGAGCAGUUUGGGUUUCCCGUAAAUGCAGUAAGACAGCAGAAGCACUGAAAAAGAAGUAGAGCUUGUGGGAUCUUGAUACACAGACCCUCAUGCUCAGCUCCUCAUCUGCAUUCAUCGUCAGCCCAGGAAUGGAAAGGGUAAGAAACAGCAAGUCUGCAUUGUGGGAAGAGACAGUGUUUGGGAUCAGGCUUUCAGGUUUGAAUUCUAGUCUCAACACUUACUACUUAGUGAACCUUGGACUUUUGUUUCCUCAGCCUAUAAAAUGAACUAAUACCUCCUCUAAACAACUUAGAUUAUGGCUAUACAGAUUUAAUGAGAUAAUGGAUAUAAAAGUUAUUUUAGCAGCUGUAAUGUGUCCUAAAUGUUAAAAUCAUAAAUCAUCAGUACUUUGAGUAAUGAAUGUUGUGUGUUGUCACCUGGCCUGGAAAUGAACUGGCCCAAACAAUUCCAUAGGCAAGAGCAAUGUGCUCACCAUUGUAUUCCCAGUUUCUAAUACAGGGCUUGACAUGCUGUUUGAUAAAUAUUCAUUGAAUGAAUGAAUUAAUGACAGAUACCUGACAGCUUAUUUACAGACUACAAGUUGCAGAUGGGAAAAUUAGAGUAUCCCAAUGCUUGUUUUUAUUCAUGACUAGCCAAGACUGCUCCCUACAGAGUGAGUAGAAAGCUUUUAAGGGACUCUUUGAUCAACUCCUGCCCCCUUUUGGUUGGUGAUUUAGCCAAGUAUUUGGGAGUUGUCAGUGCAUUUUUUUUCCAGUAAAUAUUUGAAGAACUCCCCAAUAUGUAAAGUUUUCUGGCCAAAUCUUAUCAACAAAAUAGAAAUAAGGCUGUUAGGAACCUGUGGCAAACGUAUGAAUGUCUACCUCCAUUUUGCACUCGUCUAUCUCAUGAGGUGGUGCUGUGCAGUUUCGAUUUUCUAUAUAUUAGCAUCUCUGUGGAACAUUGUACACAAGCUAACAUAUUCUAACAAGCCCUGUGAGUGAUUCUGAGGCAUAUAGAAGUUUCAAAGCCAGUGGUGUGAUGACUUUCAAACUUGUCUACUGAGAAAAUAUUUUUACAUGAUUAUGCAUGUAUUAUCUUGUGUGAAACUUUCACAAAAUCAUUCUGAACCUUACCAUCUAAAAUAAAGGAUAUUUCCUAAUAUGUUCUAUUCUACUCUAUUCUAAUCUAUUUAUAUUUUGGUAAAAUGCUGGUUGUGACUCACCAGACUGAUUCCGCAAAUCCCAUGUGUUAACACCUAUAGUUUGAAAAAUACUGGUUUACAUAUUAGACCUAGCUUAGGAAAUAUGGCCUCUAAUAAUGUUACUACCUUACAUUUGUGUAACAAAAAUCAUUUUAUACAUAUUUUUAUUUUCACUACACAAGAGCCAAUAUGUAUAUUAUGACUCCCAAUUUUACAGAAGAGGAAACAGAUGUUACCUGGAAUUAUAAUGCUACUGAACCACAUAUUGGAACUACAUCUUAUUCCAAAGUACACUGAUAUUUCUGUUACGCAUCUAGUUCACUAGUUUUGGUACAACUUUUGUCAUAAAUAAGCUUUGUUACUUGUGGUGAGUUAUUUCCGUUUUCCACACUUCAGUUGCCCCACUUAUAAAUAGUUUGAGGGUGGCCUAGGGUGGAGGAGUAGGGGACUAGGACUGGAUGAGCAAAAGAUUGGGAAUGGGCUCGUUUUCUGCCUUAAUCCUGACUGAAAGAAUGCCAUUUUCUUUCAGGAAAGACAGACAGGCACACACACAAUUUACUAAUUCCUUAAAUUAUAAAUUUAAUUAUUUAUCUUUUGAUAAUAACAAUAAUAACAACAAUUAACAGCUAACAUGUAUUGAGCACUCAUUCCAAUUCAGGAACAGUGCUAAGAGCUUUAGAUACUUGAUUAAAUCCUCAUUACCUUAAGAGUUAGAUGCCAUUGUCAUCACCACUUGCAGAAGUAGAGAUUGAUGCUUAAAGAGUUAAGUAGUUGCCCAAGGAUACCCAGCCUGUUUGGCACAGUGGGAGAGCAGUGGGCUUACUUCAGAAGAUUUAACCACCAAGCCACACUCCUGGCAAGGUGGUGAUCUUGGCCACUAUGCCAGAUUGUCUACUUCCAGGAAACACCAUUGAACAUGAGUGACUGCAGUAUAUCUUAUAACAGAGUUUUCCUGGAAACCAAUCGAACUAAAUCAAAAGAGUAACACUUCAUGAACUGCUGUCUCUUAACUUCUGUAACAAACUACUGGCAUAGCUGAUAUUGGAGUUGAGUUGUUAGCUAAAACUUCCAAGUGCUCCUUCCAUUCUAAAUGUCUCUGUUGUUUGCUAAAGUGAUUUUUUUUUAAAGACUACGUAAAAUCCACAUGUUUCCUUCAAAUUUGGCACUUGUAAUCUGUUCCUAACUAGUAGUUUGUCAAAUCACCUGGAAUUUCAGAACUAUUAUAUAAACAAUUUGCAUGCUGCCUUCAGAAGUUUUUGAAGUUGGGUGAGCAUAAUAAACCUUUUGGGACCGGGGGAAAUAUCAGAAUUUCUGUUUUUAGCUCCUCCUUUUGAAAGUUUAUGUCUGUGCGUAGUACAUUAGUGUAGUCAUACAUGUAUUAAAUCAAUAAAUAAGUAAACAAACAUUUAUUGUGAUUGUGUGAUCAAAAAAUUAUAGAGACUAUUGAUUUAGUCACUUUUCUAUGUGAAGCUUGAUUUUCUCUCUUGAUAGGGAUAAGGUCUGUAUUAGGCUUGUCUAUUGCUAUGUAACAAACCAUCCCCCAAACUGGUAGCUUAAAACAAUAUCAAUAUUUCAUUUUCUCACAUAGUUGCAAUUUGGGCAGGACUCAGAGGGUCAGCUUGUCUUUGCUUUGUCACAGUGGCUUGAAAGCUGGGCUGGAGCCAUCUGAGGGCUGCUGACUCACAGGUGUGGUAGUGAUGUUUUCUGUUGUCUGGGAAGAUGCAAAUGCUUUGAGACAAAAAUGUCUGGAGCUCCUCAGCAUUUCUUUCUUUCUCUUGUGGUCUUUCCAUGUGGUCUCUCCAGUAUGACAGCUUCAGAGUAGUGAGACGUAUUACACAGCAGCUAGGGCUCUUGAAGUGCAUGUCCCAAGGGAGAGAAUCAGUCAGAAUCCCAAUGACCUUUUCUAAUCUAGCCUUGGAACUUGUACUUGCUCACUGCUGCCACAUCCUAUUCUUCAGAAGUAAAUCACUUGGUGAAUAAGACUUUUUGAUUGGAGGAGUGUCAAAUAAUUUGCUAACAUACAUUAACACCCCGUACACUUUGUUCAAGUGUCACUGGUUGGGCUAGUGAAAGGCCAAUGAUAUGGGUUGGGAGCCAUCUAAGUAAAUUUGGGCUUUAAGUUAUGAGGCGGUUGUGAAUCUGAGAAACUGAGCUGAUCAGGAGGAUCUCCAGGCUGAGUGGAUUAAAACCACUUGUCUCAUUUCCAUUUCAGCCUCCUCACCCCAUGUGGAGGUGAGGCUUUCCUCAGGUGGUCCCCUGCCAAAGUGGGGAAGUCAGCUGGAUUCCUUAUCCUACUCAGAUGUCACUGCUACACGUGUUGAGAAAGAAGAUCAUGCUCCUUGAAUCCUUUCUUGUGCAAGACCUUUGAUUCCCUCGGUACCAUCCGUUCUAUCCCAUUCCCUGGACCAAAUGUUUGCAAUAUAUAACACUUCUUUAAACUUUAGUAUUUUCUCCUGGUCUUUACAGUUACCUAAAAAAAAAAAUUAAGUUUUAAAGUUUUAAAAAGUGGUACAUAUGAAUGUGUUUUUGUCUUUAGAAUGCAAAUAGCUGAGAAUAGAAACUAUAUUUUAUUUAAUAGUUAUGUUUUUAGCAAGUUGUAAAAUAUUUUUCAAAAUUCCCAAACAAGCUCUUUCUUCUACUAGCAGGUAAAUUCCAUUAAGAUAGGGACCUAAACUCCAGGCUAUAGUUGUUUCCGCAACUGGUAGCAAAUGGGAAGUAUUCAGUAAGUAUGGAUUAAAUGGAGGACUGAAGGAAGCCACAAUUUCAAUUAGUAGUAGUAAAUAUAUUUAAUCAUUGAUUUUUAUCAAGUAGGUUAUACUAACAUUAUAUUCUUUAGUUUUCAAAAUAACUUUCUAUGUUUUUGUGUAUUCAGUGCCAUUUUUUCUCAUUAUGUCUUUGUAUUUUAUGUAUAUAUAUAUAUGUUUGCGUGUGGUACUAUAAUACUAUAUCCAGAUUUUAAAGACUUUUUUUUUUGUAAAGGUUGAAUUCGUUUCCUCUAUAAUUUCAUACUAUGACUCCCUGUCAACCUGAAAACAUGGUAGUGUUUUGAGACUAUGGAAACUUUCAGCCCAUGUGGGGCCUUGAGAAAGUUGGAGCUCACAGCCCAUCCCUUCCAUUGCUCUGUUGCUCGUUUGAAAUCUAAUCCUUGGGCUCAACUAAGUACUCUGUAUUAUGAGUGUUGAAAACUCCUUGAAGUUCCUUUUUGGAAACUCUUCUCAGUUACCUGGUGGGUUGUUUGCAGUGCUUUUUUCACUUUACCAAUGGGAAUUAAGACACAGACUGGGUAAGCAGCUUGUCAAAUUCAAAAUCAAGGCCAAAGGAUUAGGUAGCCUAGAUAAGAACUGAAGGAACUCAUUUUAUAGCUCCCUGUUCAAGAGCCUAAGAAAUGUAGUUUGUAAGGAAAGCAUAAUAUGGAGAACAAAUACCACCUCUCUUAAUCAUGAAUUGUGUGUGUUUGUACGAAGUUUUUUGAUUAGAACAUACUAAAGGGUUGGUAUGUUGUUAGUUUGUAGAAUCGACAGUGGAUUCACAUGAUUAUUAAUAGGAGAAAUAUUUCAUGAUUAAUCUCGUUAGCAUGUAUAAUUGCUAUCAGGAGAAAGAUCAUAUGCCUAGAAGACAAAGAGCAAAAUAAACUUAUAUUGAUUUCUUCCUCUAGAGAUUAGAACACAAGUCAUCAGAAUGCACGAGUAGAGCCCCAAGUUAGAAUGCUGCCUAAGUAUGGGUUCUUCCUUUGUGAUAAACCCCAUUUUAACCCAGAAUCACAGCAAUUGGUCUCAGGAUGUUUUCCAUGAAUAUAUUUUAUUACAGUGAUAUUGUUUGUCAAUGAAGAUUCUGAGGUUUUAUCCAUUGAGAAGUAGAAAUCCUGAGUAACCGGCUUAAAAGUCUGUGGUCUUUACAACACAUGAAAUUGCGUUCUUCUCUGACCAUUAUUUUAAUGAUUUUUAUAUAAUUACAUCUUUAUAUAGUUAAUACUAUGUGUUCAUACAGUUGCUUAUGUAUUUUGCCCUUUUUUUUGGUCUUCACAGUAAGAAAAGAAGCUGCUUUAGAGUGAGGGCUUCAGACCUUUCAUCAUCCUGGCUCUGGUCCAUCCAUCCUUUCUCUGAUCUGUAGCUCAGGAAUGGGGUGAAGUAGACAUGCCCCAGAUGCAUGUCACUGCCAGGCAGGUCCUUGGAUGGGAAAGUACAAGAUGUACUCACAGAAAGAUGAAACUGAAAUAUUGGAUAGAAGAAGAAUAAGUUAUGUAAGGUCAUAAUAGAAUUUACUGCAAAAAAUUCUUUACUUUCCAACUUUAAUUAAGGAUGUUGUAUAGUUUUAAGCUUAUCAGGUAUUAAUAUGGAGGUUUAAAAAAUGUCUUGAGGAAUAUCCAGUCCAAAAUGAAAAUAAUAUUCUAAAACUCAGAUCAGUUUUAGAAGUAUGUAUCACUCCUUGUUAUUUGGAGAUUUCGAGCCUUCCCUUAUGCUGUCCUUGGCUUUACAUCUCCCUGGUAAGCAUCUCCUGAAAAUCUGCUUGUGUCAUUUCUGCUUCAAACAUUAUUAUCAAAAAAACAGGUUUAGAGUCUGCAAUUGCAGGUGAUUAUGUUUAUAGAGUUGGGAGAUUAGUGUAAUAAUCUAAAAAACAGCACAUUUUGUGUAUAUGCAUAGAUUCUAACUUCCGUAGUGAAUGGAUUUUUAUGCUCCUAGACUGUUAUGUUACUGUCGUCAGACUCCAGUCACCCAUUGAUAAUGACAAUUGCAUUGAUUGCCUCAGCAUCAGCUGGCCUCCUGUGACUAAACGUCUUCACAUAGCAGACAGUUCAUUCAAAAAAUUGGACCUAGAAUUGCUGAUAUGCCUUUCUCUUUCAAUGCCCAAAGUCCCCUUAAAUUUUUGACUGAAAUGUUGUAUUGAGAUAGAGAAAUGGAUCUUUAUUCCAGAUGUUUAAACAGUCUUUUUAGGCCUUCAUAGGGUUUUUCAUAGACAUUUAUUGUUACUUUUAUAAGUGCCAUUUAGGCUGCUUAUGAUUGAGAAUGUAAAUUCUCCCAGCCCAAAUUUAAGACCAAAUAUAAGGACUUUUAUUGAAGAAUUAUUGAUUCUUCUUGUUUCUGUCUCCAGCCCACUUCUCUGCCACCUCAAAAUAGUUUUUAUUUCAGAGAGUUAAUCGUGAAAUGUAUUAAUCAUGAAUUGAAUCAAGCCAUGUGAUCUCCAUGCUGAUAUGAAGGAGUAUAAAAAGCCUAUCGAACACAGUAUUAAGUCAAUCAAGGGACAGGGUAAUAAAGUGUGUAAGAGGUGAAGCUGGAGAGUAAGACAAAUGUGCGUUGGACUGAGUUGCAAAUUGGUCACUUUUUAGUUGUGUGAUCUUGAUUAAGGUAUUUCAUUCCUUCAAGUCCAUUUACCACACCUUUAAAAUAGUGUUGAUAAUAAUACCUCAUCAGUAGAAUUUGUGUUUAUAAAGACUUAAGUUUUUUAGAGAAAUUUUAGGUUCACAGCAAAAUUGAAAGGAAGAUACAGAGAUUUCCCGUAUACACCCAGCCUCCACACAUGCACAGCCUCCUCUACUAUCAACAUCCCCCACCUCAGUGGUAUGUUUGUUAUAACUGAUGAACCUUCAUUGAUACAUCAUUACUCAAAGUCUAUACUUUAUGUUAGAGUUCGCUCUUGAUAUUGUACAUUCUAUGGCUUUGGACAAAUAUAUAAUCACAUACAUACAUCAUUACAGUAUCAUACAGAAUAUUUUCACUACCCUAAAAAUCCUCUCUGUUCUGCCUGUUCAUGCCUCCCUCACUUCAACUCCUGGCAAUCACUGAUCUUUUUACUAUCUGUGUAGUUUUUCCUCUUCCAGAAAGUCAUGUACAUGGAAUUAUGCAGUAUGUAGCCUUUUCAGAUUUGCUUAUUUCAUUUAGUAAUAUGCAUUCAAGUUUCUUUCAUGGCGUUUCAUGGCUUGAUAACUCUUUUUUUUUUUUUUUUUGGUGUUGAAGUCCAUUGUCUGGAUGUGCCACAGCUUAUUUAUCCAUUCUGUUUCUGAAGAAAAUCUUGGUUGCCUCCAAGUUUUGGCAAUUAUUAAUAAAGCUGUUUGAAUUUCAUUUGAGUAAAUACCAAGGAGCAUGAUUGCUGGAUAAUAUGAUAAGAGUUUGUUUUGUAACAAGAUGCCAAACUGCCUUCCAAAGUGCCCGUACCAUUUUGCAUUCCUACCAGAAAUAAACAGAGUUCCUAUUGCUCCACAUCUGGUAUUGCCAGUUUAAUGGAAUUUGGCCCUCCAAAGAUGUGCUUUGUAGUGUUUCUGUCAUGACCAAAUGACAUAUUUUUAAAAGGCACUUAUCAUAGUACUUGACACAUUCUAAAUAUAUUAUUGUUGUUACCUGUUCUUAUUCUAUUAUGCCAGUCAGUGAAAAAAAAUCAGUCAAAAUAGAUUGUUAGACUUUUGUUUCUGGCCAUUAUGCACUUAGGAAAACAGACUUACCUUCCUUCCAUAAACAACUGGAAACUAGGUAAUGUGCUUGAAAUGACUGUUGUUAAGUGUUGGACCACAGGCAGUGUAAGACUGCAAUUCCUGAGAAGGAAACAGAUGGAAUAAAUGCUACCCAACAAUAACCUGGAAGCACAUUCCUGGAAUGAGGUUUAGGAUUUCUGCCUGGAAGUACAUUCUGGAAUGAGGUUUAGGAAGGGGUUCCCAAGCAAGGCAGGUUGGUCUUAACUGAGUUGAGGAGACAGAUAUCAGAAUUCAAGGAGGCUACAUUAGUUGGCUGUUGCAAAGCAGAGUUCUGAACAGAAGAGAGCUAAGGAAAAAAAAAAAAAGCUUUGGAAAUCUGCAUAGGAGUUCACUUGAGCCUUUGCUGCAUCCUAAGUUCACAUAUACUUCACAAGGUCAGGAAAAAAAAAAAACAUGAGGGAGCUAUAAGCUGAAGAUAGCAUGGAGAUGUUUGAGCUAUGCUUAGCCAGAAUGGAGAGUCCUUUUGAUCACUGAGAAAUCAUGGACAAACUCAGAAUGGUCAUGCCUUAGUAGUAGGGUUAAACUACACCUAGAAUAAAUAGAAUAAAUAUUACUGUUACACAAAAUAAAAGCAUAUCUUUUCAUUUAAAAAA